GAGCAACCUGCCCCUGGCUCUGGGACAACCACUGGAAACGGUGGCUAAUACCGGAUACGACCCGCCAUCGCAUGGUGUGUGGGUGGAAAGUUUUUCGGCUGGGGAUGGGCUCGCGGCCUAUCAGCUUGUUGGUGGGGUGAUGGCCUACCAAGGCGACGACGGGUAGCCGGCCUGAGAGGGCGAUCGGCCACACUGGGACUGAGACACGGCCCAGACUCCUACGGGAGGCAGCAGUGGGGAAUAUUGCACAAUGGGCGAAAGCCUGAUGCAGCGACGCCGCGUGAGGGAUGACGGCCUUCGGGUUGUAAACCUCUUUCAGCUCCGAAGAAGCGAGAGUGACGGUAGGAGCAGAAGAAGCACCGGCUAACUACGUGCCAGCAGCCGCGGUAAUACGUAGGGUGCAAGCGUUGUCCGGAAUUAUUGGGCGUAAAGAGCUCGUAGGCGGUGUGUCGCGUCUGCUGUGAAAACUCAGGGCUCAACUCUGAGCUUGCAGUGGGUACGGGCACACUAGAGUGCUGUAGGGGAGACUGGAAUUCCUGGU
rnacentral:rRNA from 1 species